GGGCCAUUAGCUCAGCUGGUAGAGCAGGAGACUCUUAAUCUCAAGGUCGCUGGUUCGAACCCAGCAUGGCCCA
rnacentral:tRNA from 1 species